rnacentral:rRNA from 1 species
AGUGAACGCUGGCGGUAGGCCUAACACAUGCAAGUCGAACGGCAGCACAGUAAGAGCUUGCUCUUACGGGUGGCGAGUCGCGGACGGGUGAGGAAUACAUCGGAAUCUACUUUUUCGUGGGGGAUAACGUAGGGAAACUUACGCUAAUACCGCAUACGAUCUACGGGUGAAAGCAGGGGAUCUUCGCACCUUGCGCGAUUGAACGAGCCGAUGUCGGAUUAGCUAGUUGGCGGGGUAAAGGCCCACCAAGGCGGCGAUCCGCAGCUGGUGUGAGAGGAGGGUCAGCCGCACUGGAACUGAGACACGGUCCAGGCUCCUACGGGAGGCAGCAGUGGGGAAUAUUGGGCAAUGGGCGCAAGCCUGAUCCAACCGUACCGCGUGGGUGAAGAAGGCCUUCGGGUUGUAAAGCCCUUUUGUUGGGAAAGAAAAGCAGCCGGUUAAUACCCCGCUGUUCUGACGGUACCCAAAGAAUAAGCACCGGCUAACUUCGUG